AUGCAGGCAAAACUCACCGUAUCACUAAUCCAAAUAUUUCCGUCUGCUUCGUUACCCGUUUGUAACAUUUUUGGGCUUUAGGUCAAGAAUAUUAGUUCGAGCAGCUCUAACCCUCGCUAAGCGUCUCCAUCUGAAUUUUAGGGUUCUUCCCAUUUGUCUAUCUAUGUCAUUGGGUAGACUGAUUUGCUUAAGUCGGUGUGAUAAUUUUGCCAGUGGUUCUCCGAUCAACCGCAAAAGAAAGCCGAUGUCUAUGUCAUAUCGAUUGGAGUUCUUAUCACCGGCCAUCGGCUUUUUGGCACCGUUGCAGAAUCUGUCUACAUUCAAGCAUUGUCAUUAACGCUCUCAUUAACACCAUCUCCCCCACUCCUCGCAAGAUCUCUCAUUCAAUACAUCCCCUCCUCCCCAUUGUGUGAUUCUACAAUUAUAAAUAUGUGAGUUUCUAUCUGUGAAAUUAUCAGUUCUCAUCGUUCUCACAUGUUACGAUGUUCAUUGUUGAUUGAAGCUUAAAGAGAAAAGACUUUCUCAGUUCACUAAUAGAUCAUGUUCACGAUUCUUGCUGUAAAUAUUUGGAGUUUCUCUUCUGAAUUUGACGGAACCAAACAGUUGUGGUGGCGGAAUGGUCGGUGUUGGUGGAACUACUUCCGCCACCGGCUACGCUUCUCCAAACGAUGUAGGUGACUACUACCUCAAGUCUCGCGGCUUCAACGGCCUCUUCUCUCAGAUCGAGUUAUCGUUCUCUGAUUCCAGUUUACGAGACCGCAAAUUGAUGUCAAAGAGCGAAGCAAUGGUUGUUGUGUAUACUAAAAAAGAAAGAGAUGGAAUACUUUCUGAACUCUUCCGUAGUGAGGUUGUUUUGAAUUCUCUGAAUCCUAAAUGGAUUAAGAAGCUCACACUCUCUUAUCAGUUCGAGCUUUUCCAGACAUUGCUGUUUCGUGUGUAUGAUAUUGACACUCAGUUUCAAAACUCAAGGGAUGAAGUAUAUUCAGAUUAUCUCAUUAUGCAUUCUCAUGUUCCAUUCUUCUACUUGAAAAUGUGUUACAAUUCAUGAUUGGGGGAGUUUCAUUUCAGAUGCUUAAGCUCGAUGAGCAGCAGUUUCUCAGCUAGGCAACCUGUACAUUGUCUGAGAUGGAUGUUCAAUCUUAACCAACUAUAGAAACUCUUAAUGUUCAGUGUGAGUAUAUGGAUGUGAGGACUUGACAGAAACACAAGUAGAAGAGUAAAGUGCAACUAUUUGUUCGGAAGGAUGAAGAAUGUUUAAUCAUGUUUUGUUAUGUUCUGUACUUUUCCGUUUAAUUAUGUUUUGUGGAAUUCUUAGUUCACUCAGCCACGUUAUGCAUUUUGUUAUGCUUCACAGUAGCUCAUAAUGAAAUACAAAAAACAUUUUCUUUAGCUCA